ensembl:lncRNA
CGGCCGGCGUGGCACAUCACGGAGGCACUAGAGCUGCUCCCCCCAAGCCCCGGGGACCCCUCCCCCAUAGGCAUCCGGGGGGGUUCCGUGCUGCGCGCAGCCCCUCUGCCGCUGAAUGCCCUUUUAUUGCCUCUCUCUCUGCCAGGGACAUUUCCUCUGCGCCCUGCCCGGCCCCGCUCCCGCUGCACGCUUUAUUGUGCCUCAUCUCUGCCUCCCGCUUCCUGUUUGUUCCCUCGCACCACACAGCAUUGAGUGCCGCACUGCAGUAGAGCCGUAAAUACCUUUAACAGCUGCCUGCCAACCCGGGGGUGAAAUACUGUCUUUGUUCCGAUUUUUUUUCUCCCCCCAUCGCCCAUAAAACUCCCCGUGAGAAAUAUAUUUGUUUGGGAAAAGCGAAAUAUUAUCAGGAGACGAGCCAAUCGGCGGGAUGAGCGGAGUUGAGGAGCACAAACCCAACGCUGCGUAUCAUCUGAAAACACCUCAAGGACGAGAUUUUCCGAAACUGUGGCCGAGAUUUAUUACGAAGCAGCUAUAAUUACCGUGCCGGCCAGGAGGGGCUCCGAGAGCAAAACCUAACGCGACACAACACACUUUCCAAGUUUCCCGGAGCGUUUCAACACUGCAAACGGUUCCUCCCAAACAGUCCCGGCGCGGGCACGGCGCGGCUCCUCGGGCUGCGGGCGUCGGGUGGCCGACAGAAGGAUCCCUCCGUGCCUCCCGAACACGUCCAGGGAUGCGUCCCGCACCCGCACACCCUCCCCGGGCCCGGUUUAAUUGCGGCGUUUUGCUCCGCCGUUAAACGUGUGGCUGCUUUCGGGGGAAAUGACGACGUGGUGAAUUCCUGCAGUGCAGCGGCACGGUGCAUUUCCGUCCCUGAGCGACGCCGGGAGCACCCAACGCGGCACUGCAGCUUCCGAUUGCGCGUUUUGAAAGUGCGGAGGAGAUAUACGGUAUAGAUACACACAUUCUGAAAGAAUAUAUUUACAAGUACGUUCUGUAGAGAGAAACACGGGGACGGACAAGCACAUAUACACACGUAGGCAAUGUAGAUCCGGGUAUACACACCCGUAUAUAAGCAAUGCGGUAUAGGAUCUAUGCGCAUAUGCAGGCAAUGUGGAUAACGUCUACGUGAUCGUUCUAUCUCCUCUGCACAUUUCAAACCAAACCUGUUUUAUCGAGUGCUCGCCCACGGUUUAGCCAGCCGGGCUAUCUGCCCGCUGCUCCGCUCCUCCUCUCCGCGCUGCCCCGCCGGGAGCAGCCGGGCCCGGAGCCUCUCGCUGUGCCCCGCGGGGCGGGCGCGCCCGCGG